GACGAACCGUGCGAACGUUGUUCGGAAUCACUGGGCUUAAAGGGCGCGUAGGCGGGUGACCAAGUCAGGGGUGAAAUCUUUCGGCUCAACCGGAAAACAGCUUCUGAUACUGGUCGUCUUGAGUGAGGUAGGGGCAUGUGGAACUUCCGGUGGAGCGGUGAAAUGCGCAGAUAUCGGGAAGAACACCCGUGGCGAAGGCGGUUCUCUGGGACGGUACUGACGCUGAGACGCGAAAGCGUGGGGAGCGAACAGG
rnacentral:rRNA from 1 species